CUGCCUUUGUCAAUUCUUUAUUCUCUGUUUUUGCAGGAAUCUUCCAGCUUGGAUGGAAGGAUGGAGGAGGGAACAAAGGGAAGGAGUACAGAAGUGAUCCAGCCUGCUGACUAAGAAAUGUAAAUAGCCUAUGUUUUGCUGUCUAUCCCUCGAUCUCUCUCCGUCUGCCUGCCUGACUGCCAGAUUGCCAAAGAACCCUUUUGGAACCCUUUUUUCUAAGAGUGUAGUGUGCAAAACCCUUGUGUCCUGAUUUAACAGACACCUCCCUUGGUGAGCAAUGUUCCCUCUAAGCUGCGCGUGGGCGCGCAUUUGCCCAGAGACUGCCGGGAGCGCAGAAGAAAUAUCAGCCAACAGAGAGAAGCACGAGAUUGAACUUCACUCAACUUUCUAGAGUUUUCCCUUAAGUGUCAUGAAAACUCAGGAGAUUGAUGUGUUGCGGGCCCUCUGGAAAGUCCCGAAAUAUGCCCCUAAACCGUGUUGGUGAAGGACGCAAAAUCUGAUCCAUCACACGACUCUUCAAGAGGGCCACUAUGCUCCAGAUCGCUUUCUGUGCUCAGAGGUCCUUGAUGAGGAUCUACCGCAUCACACCACUCUUAUUAAUCAUUAAUCAAAUAAAACAAUGGGCCUUUAUAUACUCACAA